AGGAUGAACGCUGGCGGCGUGCCUAAUACAUGCAAGUCGAGCGGUAAGGCCCUUCGGGGUACACGAGCGGCGGACGGCUGAGUAACACGUAGGAACGUACCCCAAAGUGAGGGAUAAGCACCAGAAAUGGUGUCUAAUACCGCAUGUGCUCUAAGGAGUAAAGCUUCGGCGCUUUGGGAACGGCCUGCGCAUGAUUAGUUUGUUGGUGGGGUAAAAGCCUACCAAGACUACGAUCAUUAGCUGGUCUGAGAGGAUGACCAGCCAGACUGGAACUGAGAACGGUCCAGACUCCUACGGGAGGCAGCAGUAGGGAAUUUUCCACAUGGGC
rnacentral:rRNA from 1 species